rnacentral:rRNA from 1 species
GAUGAACGCUGGCGGCGUGCCUAAUACAUGCAAGUCGAGCGAACGGACGAGAAGCUUGCUUCUCUGAUGUUAGCGGCGGACGGGUGAGUAACACGUGGAUAACCUACCUAUAAGACUGGGAUAACUUCGGGAAACCGGAGCUAAUACCGGAUGAUAUUUUGAACCGCAUGGUUCAAAAGUGAAAGACGGUCUUGCUGUCACUUAUAGAUGGAUCCGCGCUGCAUUAGCUAGUUGGUAAGGUAACGGCUUACCAAGGCAACGAUGCAUAGCCGACCUGAGAGGGUGAUCGGCCACACUGGAACUGAGACACGGUCCAGACUCCUACGGGAGGCAGCAGUAGGGAAUCUUCCGCAAUGGGCGAAAGCCUGACGGAGCAACGCCGCGUGAGCGAUGAAGGUCUGCGGAUCGUAAAACUCUGUUAUUAGGGAAGAAAAUAUGUGUAAGUAACUGUGCACAUCUUGACGGUACCUAAUCAGAAAGCCACGGCUAACUACGU